rnacentral:rRNA from 1 species
UACGGGGGGGGUAAGCGUUGUUCGGAAUUACUGGGCGUAAAGGGCUCGUAGGCGGCCAACUAAGUCAGACGUGAAAUCCCUCAGCUUAACUGGGGAACUGCGUCUGAUACUGGAUGGCUUGGAUUCGGGAGAGGAAUGCGGAAUUCCAGGUGUAGCGGUGAAAUGCGUAGAUAUCUGGAGGAACACCGGUGGCGAAGGCGGUAUUCUGGACCGACAUUGACGCUGAGGAGCGAAAGCCAGGGGAGCAAACGGG